GAUGAACGCUAGCGGCAGGCCUAACACAUGCAAGUCGAGGGGCAGCAGACCGCUUCGGUGGUGCUGGCGACCGGCGCACGGGUGAGUAUCGCGUUUGCAACCUACCCUUAACCGGGGGAUAGCCCGAAGAAAUUCGGAUUAAUACCCCAUAACAUUUGAACACGGCAUCGUGUUUUCAUUAAAGCUCCGGCGGUUAAGGAUGGGCAUGCGUGACAUUAGUUUGUUGGUGAGGUAACGGCUCACCAAGACUACGAUGUCUAGGGGGUCUGAGAGGAUGAUCCCCCACACUGGUACUGAGACACGGACCAGACUCCUACGGGAGGCAGCAGUGAGGAAUAUUGGGCAAUGGACGCAAGUCUGACCCAGCCAUGCCGCGUGCAGGAUGACGGCCCUAUGGGUUGUAAACUGCUUUUAUACAGGAAGAAACCCUUCUACGUGUAGAUGGUUGACUGUACUGUAAGAAUAAGCAUCGGCUAACUCCGUGCCAGCAGCCGCGGUAAUACGGAGGAUGCAAGCGUUAUCCGGAUUUAUUGGGUUUAAAGGGUGCGC
rnacentral:rRNA from 1 species